rnacentral:lncRNA from 1 species
CAAAGAAAGAAAACAAAAAUAUGUAGCUGUUUAUUUAUUUAUUUACAUAUUUACUUUAUGUUUAUUUGCAUCUCUAACAGUAGCAGAACUAGAAAGAUCAUGCAAAAAGUUAACAAAUCAGUUUUCUUUUUGAUUUGGUUAUUUAUUUCAUUUAGCUAAAGAAAUCUAGAAUUUUAUGUGAAAUGAACUCUAUAAAUAUUGAAACCACUUGACCAUAUCUUAUGUCUCAAAAAUUCCAUGUUUAAUGACAAAACUGUUGCAGAAGAAUGAAGUAAUAUAUACAUAAACAAUCCAGCAUCUGAGUUUCCAGAGGAGCGGUGUUUCUGAUAUGCACACAGAGAUUGAUAACAGAGAUAAAACGGUAACAGCACUAGCAGCACAUUUUUAAAUGACUUGUAUGCAUUUAUGAGUAAAUGUCAAGGUCUGGACUUGAUAGACCAAAUAUUCUAAAGCUUCUUUCUCUCUUUUUUUUCCCUUCAGCUUCCACUUUUUCAUUAGAUACUAUUGAAAGGAUAAGUCUAAUGUGUGGGAACCAAGAUAAAAUGAGGUCUGUCUGCUCACAGUAAAGAGCCAGGUUUUCCCCGGCUUGGUAUUGGUAAGUGUCCAUUGCUAAAUGUGUACCAAAACACAAUUAAGUAUUUCCUUGUCAUACAUAUCUACAUCAUUAAGAAGAAGAUGCCAGUUUAUAGUUGUGAUACUGGAUCCUAUGCCUAAGAUGAAGGAAUUAAGGUCUGUUAUAGACCCAGGGAGAAACCUGAUAAAACUGGAUUUGUGUUGUGAACAUAUACAGUGAAUAUAGAUUUUUGACUGGCAUACAGCAAUGGCAGCUUGACAAAGUAAACCUCUGAACUUUAAUAUCGUAAACUGUCUAACAUACUUUCUCUGUGUCAUUGAAACCAGAAUGGCUGCCGAUGAGGCCCUUGGUGUCUCUUCACACAGCGAUUGAGCCUAAAGUAAUUCAAGAGUCCAUCACCAACAGUGACAUGUACCUAUCACCUUACCCUAUGGUCUCCUCCAACCACCUGCCAGCACAGUGUUCAGCAAAUUUCUCCUCAUCUGCCUGAACUGUGAGGAGCUGUUUAUCAAAGGUGUUAGCACUAUAUGCUUUGUUUUUAUUGUAGAUGUUUUUUUCACAAGAUCCUGACCUACUGAAGUAAAUGGGAGGUUUUGAUUUAAAACAACAGCAAAAAACAUAAUCCAAACAAACCCAAAAUAAAACAACCCCCCAAACAAGUUAGCUGAUUCUG